UAUGCAGAACUUUCCAGCGCUUUUCCUCCUUGUUCCUGACCCAGAAUCUUCUAACUGUCCCCCUUCCAGGCUCAGGCAGAUGGUGAUCAAUCCACACAUUCCAUAAUCCCAGCAAUAAAAGAUACUGUGGGUUAGACUUACAGUCCAUCAUACCCAGGACUACAGUUCCCUUGAUGUCUAGCCACAUAAAUUCUUCGAGAAGACAAAAACUUCCUAUGCAGUGGACGUAGUUGGAAACAGGCAGCUUGUCACACUUAAACGUCACAUAUUAUGCUGAGUGAAUCAGAAUGGACCAAAGGUUGUUGCUGAGAGUCGUCAUCACUGAAGAUGAUAUAAGGAAGGUGACUUUAAAUGAGAGACCACAGUCUAUUGAAGAAUUAAAAGUGCAACUGGUGGACAAACUGUCACUGCAGUAUGACUUUAAACUGCAGUAUGAAGAUCAAGACUUCCAUAAUGCCCUUUGCAAUUUGACUGAAAUAACUGAUUUACCUGAAAGAGCUACACUCAAAAUCAUCCCUCUUGUGA